GUGACACUGGGCAGUAGCAGCUUGAGCAUGCUGUAGUGCAUGAGGAGACAGAGUCCAUCGGUGACUACAUCACCAUCUACCAGUUGCAGCGAGGAGUGAUGAAGCAACAAGCUCGAGAACGCGAGUUAGACCUUGCCAGCCUCCAUCAUGAAUGAGAGGAAAUGAAGCAAAACCACUCUGCAGUUGCUCUGAGUUGUAGCAGCAGUGACGUGUGGCACCCAGGAUGAAGGUGGUCUGCAGGGUGGUCUGUGUCAGGGGGAUGAUGGCAGACAACAGCAGCAGCACCGUGACAGCUCAAGCAUCCUGUUGAAAUUAUCACUUUUUAAAUGCUGAAAAGUGAAGGAAAAACCUGUCUCCAUGGAAUGUGGAAGUACACAACAACAACUCUGAAAGAUUUCUUACAAUAAUAAGUCAUCAUUCAUUGUAUCCUUUUUUGUUGGCCACAAGAUUAUCAUACAAAUUUUCCAUAGACAUCUGCAAAUUGGUACCUCUAGCUGUUAUUAAAUAUGAUAUUAAGUUUGAUGAAUGUAUUUAUUUCAUUAUACAUGAAAGUUGUUGAUUGCAAAAAAAAAUAAUAACCAAAAUAUA